GAUGAACGCUGGCGGCGUGCCUAAUACAUGCAAGUCGAGCGAACGGACGAUAAGCUUGCUUUUCUGAUGUUAGCGGCUGACGGGUGAGUAACACGUGGAUAACCUUCCUAUUAGACUGGGAUAACUUCGGGAAACCGGAGCUAAUACCGGAUAAUAUUUUGUACCGCAGGGUUCAAAAGUGAAAGACGCCUUUCGUGUCACUUAUAGCUGGAUCCGCGCUGCAUUAGCUAGUUGGUAAGGUAACGGCUUACCAAGGCAACGAUGCGUAGCCGACCUGAGAGGAUGAUCGGCCACACUGGAACUGAGACACGGUCCAGACUCCUACGGGAGGCAGCAGUAGGGAAUCUUGGGCAAUGGGCGAAAGCCUGACGGAGCAACGCCGCGUGAGUGAAGAAGGUCUUCGGAUCGUAAAGCUCUGUUGUUAGGAAAGAAAAGAUGUGGAAGUAAAUGUGCACAUCUUGACGGUACCUAAUCAGAAAGCAACGGCUAACUACGUG
rnacentral:rRNA from 1 species